CAAUAGCGUAUAUUAAAGUUGUUGCAGUUAAAAAGCUCGUAGUUGAACUUGUGCGUGCCCCUGAUGUCCUUUUUGGUACGUUUGGGGGUGUGCAUCCUUGGGUGGAUCCUGUGUGGCAUUAGGUUGUCGUGCAGGGGAUGCUCAUCGUUUACUGUGAAAAAAUUAGAGUGUUCAAAGCAGGCUUAUGCCGUUGAAUAUAUUAGCAUGGAAUAAUAAGAUAGGACCUCGGUACUAUUUUGUUGGUUUGCGCACUGAGGUAAUGAUUAACAGGGACAGUUGGGGGUAUUCGUAUUCCAUUGUCAGAGGUGAAAUUCUUGGAUUUCUGGAAGACGAACUACUGCGAAAGCAUUUACCAAGGAUGUUUUCAUUAA
rnacentral:rRNA from 1 species